GAUGAACGCUGGCGGCGUGCCUAAUACAUGCAAGUCGAGCGAACAGACGAGGAGCUUGCUCCUCUGACGUUAGCGGCGGACGGGUGAGUGACACGUGGAUAACCUACCUAUAAGACUGGGAUAACUUCGGGAAACCGGAGCUAAUACCGGAUAAUAUAUUGAACCGCAUGGUUCAAUAGUGAAAGACGGUUUUGCUGUCACUUAUAGAUGGAUCCGCGCCGCAUUAGCUAGUUGGUAAGGUAACGGCUUACCAAGGCAACGAUGCGUAGCCGACCUGAGAGGGUGAUAGGCCACACUGGAACUGAGACACGGUCCAGACUCCUACGGGAGGCAGCAGUAGGGAAUCUUCCGCAAUGGGCGAAAGCCUGACGGAGCAACGCCGCGUGAGUGAUGAAGGUCUUCGGAUCGUAAAACUCUGUUAUUAGGGAAGAACAAAUGUGUAAGUAACUAUGCACGUCUUGACGGUACCUAAUCAGAAAGCCACGGCUAACUACGUG
rnacentral:rRNA from 1 species